GAUGAACGCUAGCGGCAGGCCUAACACAUGCAAGUCGAGGGGUAACAGAGAGUGCUUGCACUUUGCUGACGACCGGCGCACGGGUGCGUAACGCGUAUGCAACCUACCUUCUACAGGGGGAUAGCCCAGAGAAAUUUGGAAUAAUACCCCAUACGAUCAUUAAUUGGCAUCGAUUGAUGAAGAAAACUUUUUGUGGUAGAAGAUGGGCAUGCGUCCUAUUAGUUAGUUGGUGAGGUAAUGGCUCACCAAGACAUCGAUAGGUAGGGGCCCUGAGAGGGGGAUCCCCCACACUGGUACUGAGACACGGACCAGACUCCUACGGGAGGCAGCAGUGAGGAAUAUUGGACAAUGGGGGCAACCCUGAUCCAGCCAUGCCGCGUGCAGGAAGACUGCCCUAUGGGUUGUAAACUGCUUUUAUACAGGAAGAAACUGUGCUACGUGUAGCACCCUGACGGUACUGUAAGAAUAAGGAUCGGCUAACUCCG
rnacentral:rRNA from 1 species